UACGUAGGGGGCGAGCGUUGUCCGGAGUUACUGGGCGUAAAGCGCACGUAGGCGGACUCUUAAGUCGGUGGUGAAAUCCUGGAGCUCAACUCCAGAACUGCCUUCGAUACUGAGAGUCUCGAGUCCGGGAGAGGUGAGUGGAACUGCGAGUGUAGAGGUGAAAUUCGUAGAUAUUCGCAAGAACACCAGUGGCGAAGGCGGCUCACUGGCCCGGUACUGACGCUGAGGUGCGAAAGCGUGGGGAGCAAACAGG
rnacentral:rRNA from 1 species